ACCAAGAUUGGUAAACUGACUCAUCUGAUCUUAUGGCCCCACCUGGGAACUGAAUUAGCACAAGAAAAGAGCUUCGACUCUGAUUUCAUCCCUGGCCAAUCAGCACUCCUGGCUCACUGGCUUCCUCCCACCCACCAAGUUGUCCUUAAAAACUCUGUUCCCCAAAUGCUCGGGGAGACUAAUUUGUCUCUUCUGACUGUGUUUUUUUUUUGCUUUUUAACAUGCCUUGUAAUUUUUUUGAUGAUACCCAGUUAUGAUGUAUCGGUACAAGGAACUGAGACAUCCUCACUCCUGGUUGCUGCGCCUGCAAACUCCAUCAAGACCAUUGGCUGUCCCAGUUCUCAGGCCUGCAGGUUUGGACUGGAACUUCACCACUGGCUGUCCUGGGCCUCCAGCUUGCAAACGGCAGAUUACGGGAUUUCUCAGCUUCCAUAAUCACAUCAUGUGGGUUACAUCUGUCAUCUCGAAUCCCUUCAGACUGCAAGAGCUCCAGAAAUGUUAUCUGUUCGCAAAGCCACGUGACGCUGGAUGGCAGCUUCCUUUGGAUGUGUCCUGAAGCUGCCGAGAGCAGGGAGGAUCCCGCUUGUCUCCAGAUGGCUUGGGGUUUGUUACAGAUUGGAGGAAGCCCCGGGGCGAGGGGGAAGGUUGAAUAAUUACUAGUGUCUGGAAUUACACGAAUGCCCUGGGGACAGGCUGGAACAGGCAGCUUUGCUUCUCCUAGAUGCCCCACUGCAGAGACCCGCAUCAACCCUUGGAUCCAAGUCAGCCAGGAGUCCUCUUUCAUUCAGUCCCAAUUAUGGGAAACAAAAUUUUUACAGCCAUGGAAGGGAAGAUGAAGGGACGAAAUGGAGAAGACUGUAGAUCACAAAGCAUUUUGGAUGCCAUAAAUCCUGCGGAUACCCUGUAGUUCUGCAGCGUCUUUCUUUAGGGAAGCUCUAGUGCCUAGUCUCUAAUUUAGUCUUCUGUGUGGCCGUGGUCUUCAAAUUGGCGUCUGUGGAGACAAAGAGGGAGGUCUUGCUGUGCCUGAGCCUCUGGGAUGUGUUACCAUCCAUGCCAACCUGCUCUCUGAGGCUUUCUGGCAGCACCGCACAGCCCUGGGACUGGAAAUGUGGCUCUCACUGAAGCUGCCCAGAGAGAGGGUCUCUCGAUGAAGAUCCUCUUCUAUCAGCUGGGGCAGCCGGAAAGACAGGCUGGGGAUUCUCUUCACACGGGAUUUCAUCUGCUUGGUGGCUCCAGAAAAAUGCAAGUGUGCGUGUUCAUCCACUUGACAAAGGGUGACUUAACGUGGGUGUCCUGUGGAUUCGAACUGAAAGGGUUUGGGCAAAAGAAAGAGAAGAAGGUGGGACUGCGAAUGAGUUGAAAACACCAUUCUGGAGGCAACAGCCGUGACACAGAAGGGAAGGAAAAUGUAUGACCAUAUACAUUUCAGUAGGAGUUUAUAACCUUUUAUGAACAUUAUCUCGAAGUUAGUCUCUAGACAUAGGACUAAAAAUAAAAUUAUGCUGAACUGUGUGCCCAGAGAAUGGUAAUGGAAAUAAGGUUCUUGAAAGGAAUGACGUAGGUCCAGGGAAAGGUCAUGCUGAAUAAUCAAGGUCGGUGAAGGUCAAAAUCACAAAGAAGGACCCUGUGUUUACUCCUGUACUGGUGGCAGCUUUAGUGGAAACCCUUGGCCAUCACUUUGCCUCUCCAAGCAUUCGGGAAAGACCAUCUGGUGCCAUAUUGUCUUCUGGGGACAGCCGGUCGCCUGGGGAGGGCUGCAUCAUGCUCCUACCCCUGUCAGAUCUGGGCAGAGGACAGACAAAAGUCCUCUGGCGUUUUCUGCAGUGAGAGUCAGGGAAGUGCAUCUAAGGAAUUGGAACCAAGAUGACACGUUCCACAAGGUCAAAAAAUGGUUUGUCUUUCUCACUGCUGUAUGUCCGGGGCCUAGAGGAGAGCCUGACAUGCAGUACAGGCUCAAUAUAUAUUCAUUGUAUGUACUGACCUCUUCAAAGUUCAGUUGGCAUCUGUACCAUCCAUACCCAGUGUGGCCUCCUCAGGUUGUCAAGGUAAGUAUUGCUUUCUCCCCGACAGGUAGGGUACUUACUGUCUCACUAAUUCUAUCA